rnacentral:rRNA from 1 species
UACAGAGGGGGCAAGCGUUAUUCGGAAUUAUUGGGCGUAAAGGGCGCGUAGGCGGCCUGGCAAGUGGAAGGUGAAAUCCCUCGGCUUAACCGAGGAACUGCCCUCCAAACUGCUUGGCUUGAGUCCGGGAGAGGUGAGUGGAAUUCCCAGUGUAGCGGUGAAAUGCGUAGAUAUUGGGAGGAACACCAGUGGCGAAGGCGGCUCACUGGACCGGUUCUGACGCUGAGGCGCGAAAGCGUGGGGAGCAAACGGG